AAGAGCUUGCUCUUAUGAAGUUAGCGGCGGACGGGUGAGUAACACGUGGGUAACCUGCCCAUAAGACUGGGAUAACUCCGGGAACCGGGGCUAAUACCGGAUAACAUUUUGAACUGCAUGGUUCGAAAUUGAAAGGCGGCUUCGGCUGUCACUUAUGGAUGGACCCGCGUCGCAUUAGCUAGUUGGUGAGGUAACGGCUCACCAAGGCAACGAUGCGUAGCCGACCUGAGAGGGUGAUCGGCCACACUGGGACUGAGACACGGCCCAGACUCCUACGGGAGGCAGCAGUAGGGAAUCUUCCGCAAUGGACGAAAGUCUGACGGAGCAACGCCGCGUGAGUGAUGAAGGCUUUCGGGUCGUAAAACUCUGUUGUUAGGGAAGAACAAGUGCUAGUUGAAUAAGCUGGCACCUUGACGGUACCUAACCAGAAAGCCACGGCUAACUACGUGCCAGCAGCCGCGGUAAUACGUAGGUGGCAAGCGUUAUCCGGAAUUAUUGGGCGUAAAGCGCGCGCAGGUGGUUUCUUAAGUCUGAUGUGAAAGCCCACGGCUCAACCGUGGAGGGUCAUUGGAAACUGGGAGACUUGAGUGCAGAAGAGGAAAGUGGAAUUCCAUGUGUAGCGGUGAAAUGCGUAGAGAUAUGGAGGAACACC
rnacentral:rRNA from 1 species